UUUUAAAUGUUUGCUAGUUGAUUGGUGGAAUACUUUUGGAGCGCGAGCUAUUGAGCUAUCAUCAUUUGCAAAAAGAAUUCUAGGCCUCUGUUGUUCUUCUUCCGGUUGCGAGCACAAUUGGAGUACAUUUGAGUUUGUAAGUAUUUUCUAUUGUUAGUUCAAAUUUCAAAAGUAAUAAAUCAUUCACUAUUAUUAAAAUUUU
rnacentral:lncRNA from 1 species